rnacentral:rRNA from 1 species
GACGUAGGGUGCGAGCGUUGUCCGGAUUUAUUGGGCGUAAAGAGCUCGUAGGCGGCUCGUCGCGUCGACCGUGAAAACCCGCGGCUUAACUGCGGGCUUGCGGUUGAUACGGGCGGGCUAGAGUUCGGUAGGGGAGACUGGAAUUCCUGGUGUAGCGGUGAAAUGCGCAGAUAUCAGGAGGAACACCGGUGGCGAAGGCGGGUCUCUGGACCGAGACUGACGCUGAGGCGCGAAAGCGUGGGGAGCAAACAGG